GGUUAAGCGACUAAGCGUACACGGUGGAUGCCCUGGCAGUCAGAGGCGAUGAAGGACGUGCUAAUCUGCGAUAAGCGUCGGUGAGGUGAUAUGAACCGUUAUAACCGGCGAUUUCCGAAUGGGGAAACCCAGUGUGUUUCGACACACUAUCAUUAACUGAAUCCAUAGGUUAAUGAGGCGAACCGGGGGAACUGAAACAUCUAAGUACCCCGAGGAAAAGAAAUCAACCGAGAUUCCCCCAGUAGCGGCGAGCGAACGGGGAGCAGCCCAGAGCCUGAAUCAGUGUGUGUGUUAGUGGAAGCGUCUGGAAAGGCGCGCGAUACAGGGUGACAGCCCCGUACACAAAAAUGCACAUGCUGUGAGCUCGAUGAGUAGGGCGGGACACGUGGUAUCCUGUCUGAAUAUGGGGGGACCAUCCUCCAAGGCUAAAUACUCCUGACUGACCGAUAGUGAACCAGUACCGUGAGGGAAAGGCGAAAAGAACCCCGGCGAGGGGAGUGAAAAAGAACCUGAAACCGUGUACGUACAAGCAGUGGGAGCCUCUUUAUGGGGUGACUGCGUACCUUUUGUAUAAUGGGUCAGCGACUUAUAUUCUGUAGCAAGGUUAACCGAAUAGGGGAGCCGAAGGGAAACCGAGUCUUAACUGGGCGUUAAGUUGCAGGGUAUAGACCCGAAACCCGGUGAUCUAGCCAUGGGCAGGUUGAAGGUUGGGUAACACUAACUGGAGGACCGAACCGACUAAUGUUGAAAAAUUAGCGGAUGACUUGUGGCUGGGGGUGAAAGGCCAAUCAAACCGGGAGAUAGCUGGUUCUCCCCGAAAGCUAUUUAGGUAGCGCCUCGUGAAUUCAUCUCCGGGGGUAGAGCACUGUUUCGGCAAGGGGGUCAUCCCGACUUACCAACCCGAUGCAAACUGCGAAUACCGGAGAAUGUUAUCACGGGAGACACACGGCGGGUGCUAACGUCCGUCGUGAAGAGGGAAACAACCCAGACCGCCAGCUAAGGUCCCAAAGUCAUGGUUAAGUGGGAAACGAUGUGGGAAGGCCCAGACAGCCAGGAUGUUGGCUUAGAAGCAGCCAUCAUUUAAAGAAAGCGUAAUAGCUCACUGGUCGAGUCGGCCUGCGCGGAAGAUGUAACGGGGCUAAACCAUG
rnacentral:rRNA from 1 species